rnacentral:misc_RNA from 1 species
GUUUCUUCUUUUGUUUCAGUGUACUCUUCAGAAAUCACAGCCUUGAUUUGUUCAACUGUAACUGAUCUGGUUGACUUUAGAAUAUAAGUAGGGCUCUGAAAUCCAGUGAAAGGAUUAAACUUGUUAAUUAUUUUAAUAUGUGCUGUUUGGAGAUCUGGCUCAAUAAAAGCCUUGUACAUGGGAUAAACCGUUUCAGAGAUUUGGUGAAUUAUUUCUUCAGGUUCUUGUCCAGCACGUUGAAUGUCCCGUAAAACACGUUUGACAAGAUCAAAGUGAACUCCACCUGUUAUAGAUACACGUAGAUCUAGCAAUGGUCGCAGUCUCUCACUUAAUGCAUAGAUGCCUUCAAUAAUCACAAUGCGGGAGCUAGGGACUUCAACUGUCCUGUAACCUAUGCGAGAGCUAGUCUUGAAGUCGUAUAU